rnacentral:rRNA from 1 species
UUUUGUGUAAAAUGUCGGCGAGCGGCGGACGGCUGAGUAACGCGUAGGAAUUUGCCCCAAAGUGAGGAAUAACUGCCCGAAAGGGUAGCUAAUGCCGCAUAUGGUCUUCGGAUUAAAGCCUUCGGGCGCUUUGGGAGAAGCCUGCGUUGGAUUAGGUAGUUGGUAGGGUAAUGGCCUACCAAGCCGACGAUCCAUAGCUGGUCUGAGAGGAUGAUCAGCCAGACUGGAACUGAGACACGGUCCAGACUCCUACGGGAGGCAGCAGUGAGGAAUCUUCCACAAUGGGCGAAAGCCUGAUGGAGCAACGCCGCGUGAAGGAUGAAGGCCUUCGGGUUGUAAACUUCUUUUAUGAGUGAAGAAUAUGACGGUAACUCAUGAAUAAGCACCGGCUAACUACGUGCCAGCAGCCGCGGUCAUACGUAGGGUGCAAGCAUUAUCCGGAGUGACUGGGCGUAAAGAGUUGCGUAGGCGGUUUAAUAAGUGAAUAGUGAAACCUGGUGGCUCAACCAUACAGACUAUUAUUCAAACUGUUAAACUCGAGAAUGGUAGAGGUAACUGGAAUUUCUAGUGUAGGAGUGAAAUCCGUAGAUAUUAGAAGGAACACCGAUGGCGUAGGCAGGUUACUGGGCCAUUUCUGACGCUAAGGCACGAAAGCGUGGGGAGCGAACCGGAUUAGAUACCCGGGUAGUCCACGCCGUAAACGAUGGAUACUAGCUGUUGGAGGUAUCGACCCCUUCAGUAGCGAAGCUAACGCGUUAAGUAUCCCGCCUGUGGAGUACGGCCGCAAGGCUAAAACAUAAAGGAAUUGACGGGGACCCGCACAAGCGGUGGAUUAUGUUCUUUAAUUCGAUGAUAACCGAAGAACCUUACCAGGGCUUGACAUCCAGGGAAGGUCUGCGAAAGUAGACUGUGCCUUUUGGAACCCUGUGACAGGUGAUGCAUGGCCGUCGUCAGCUCGUGUCGUGAGAUGUUAGGUUAAGUCCUUCAACGAGCGCAACCCUUGUGAAUAGUUGUAUUUUUCUAUUCAGACUGCCCCGGUAACGGGGAGGAAGGAGGGGAUGAUGUCAGGUCAGUAUUUCCCUUACGUCCUGGGCUAGAAACGUAAUACAAUGGCUAGUACAAUGCGCAGCGAAGCCGCGAGGUGAAGCAAAUCGCAUCAAAGCUAGUCUUGCGGUGAAUACGUUCCCGGGUCUUGUACACACCGCCCGUCAAACCAUGAAAGUGACCAACACCCGAAGUCCGAUUCGUCGGCCUAAGGUGGGGGGCAUGAUUGGGGUUAAGUCGUAACAAGGUAUCCGUACCGGAAGGUGCGGAUG